AACGAACGCUGGCGGCAUGCCUAACACAUGCAAGUCGAACGAGACCUUCGGGUCUAGUGGCGCACGGGUGCGUAACGCGUGGGAACCUGCCCUUAGGUUCGGAAUAACUCCCCGAAAGGGGUGCUAAUACCGGAUGAUGUCUUCGGACCAAAGAUUUAUCGCCUUUGGAUGGGCCCGCGUUGGAUUAGCUAGUUGGUAGGGUAAAAGCCUACCAAGGCGACGAUCCAUAGCUGGUCUGAGAGGAUGAUCAGCCACACUGGGACUGAGACACGGCCCAGACUCCUACGGGAGGCAGCAGUGGGGAAUAUUGGACAAUGGGCGAAAGCAUGAUCCAGCAAUGCCGCGUGAGUGAUGAAGGCCUUAGGGUUGUAAAGCUCUUUUACCCGGGAUGAUAAUGACAGUACCGGGAGAAUAAGCUCCGGCUAACUCCGUG
rnacentral:rRNA from 1 species